CUGCGUCUGCUUUGCAGUGGCUUGAAGCAACAGUCUGUCCUUGUGACUCCAGUGGGUGAAGAUGAGUGACUUGGAGGGAGACAACCAAAUGGAGGCUGUGUCUGUCCAGGAUGCUGCUUUUACUCAAUGCCUCAUUAUCAAAGCCAAACUGAAAUGAAGAGCUGUACACUGUAUUGGAGAAUCCCAUUGAGUUGUAAUGUCAGAUCUCACCUCUCCACAUAACUUUUAUAUUUACA
rnacentral:lncRNA from 1 species